GCCUUGAUGGUGAAAUGGUAGACACGCGAGACUCAAAAUCUUGUGCUCAAGAGCGUGGAGGUUCGAGUCCUCUUCAAGGCA
rnacentral:tRNA from 1 species